rnacentral:rRNA from 1 species
CACGUAGGGCGCGAGCGUUGUCCGGAAUUAUUGGGCGUAAAGGGCGCGUAGGCGGUGCGGUAAGUCUGUAGUGAAAUCUCUGGGCUCAACUCAGAGUCUGCUGCAGAAACUGCCGUGCUUGAGUGUGGGAGAGGUGAGUGGAAUUCCCGGUGUAGCGGUGAAAUGCGUAGAUAUUGGGAGGAACACCAGUGGCGCAAGCGGCUAUCUGGACUGACAUUGACGCUGAGGCACGAAAGCGUGGGGAUCAAACAGG